AUUGAACGCUGGCGGCAGGCCUAACACAUGCAAGUCGAACGGUAACAGAAAGCAGCUUGCUGCUUUGCUGACGAGUGGCGGACGGGUGAGUAAUGUCUGGGAAACUGCCUGAUGGAGGGGGAUAACUACUGGAAACGGUAGCUAAUACCGCAUAACGUCGCAAGACCAAAGAGGGGGACCUUCGGGCCUCUUGCCAUCGGAUGUGCCCAGAUGGGAUUCGCUAGUAGGUGGGGUAACGGCUCACCUAGGCGACGAUCCCUAGCUGGUCUGAGAGGAUGACCAGCCACACUGGAACUGAGACACGGUCCAGACUCCUACGGGAGGCAGCAGUGGGGAAUAUUGCACAAUGGGCGCAAGCCUGAUGCAGCCAUGCCGCGUGUAUGAAGAAGGCCUUCGGGUUGUAAAGUACUUUCAGCGGGGAGGAAGGGAGUAAAGUUAAUACCUUUGCUCAUUGACGUUACCCGCAGAAGAAGCACCGGCUAACUCCGUG
rnacentral:rRNA from 1 species